rnacentral:lncRNA from 1 species
CUUUAUUUUAAGAAUGUGAAAUGACAGAAUAAUAGUAGAGAGAAUGAUUUAUUUCAGAUUUUAUUUCUUUCAUCACGUUCCCAGUAGGUACACUCAAUUAGUAUUUGGUAGCAUUGCCUUUAAAUUGUUUAACUUGGGUCAAACCCAUCAGACCCAUUUGCGACCAAGCUUUAACUUCCUGACUGAGGUCUUGAGAUGUUGCUUCAAUAUAUCCACAUAAUUUUCCUUCCUCAUGAUGUUAUCUAUUUUGUGAAGUGCACCAGUCCCUCCUGCAGCAAAGCACUCCACAACAUGAUGCUGCCACCCCCGUGCUUCAUGGUUGGGAUGGUGUUCUUUGGCUUGCAGGCCUCCCCCUUUUUCCUCCAAACAUAACGAUGUUCAUUAUGGCCAAACAGUUACAUUUUUGUUUCAUCAGACCAGAGGAUAUUUGUCCAAAAAGUAUGAUCUUUGUCCCCAUGUGCAGCUGCAAACCGUAAUCUGGCUUUUUUUAUGGCGGUUUUGGAGCAGUGGCUUCUACCUUGCUGAGUGGCCUUUCAGGUUAUGUGGAUAUAUGACUCGUUUUACUGUGGAUAUAGAUACUUUUGUACCUGUUUCCUCCAGCAUCUUCACAAGGUCCUUUGCUGUUGUUCUGGGAUUGAUUUGCACUUUUCCCACCAAAGUACGUUCAUCUCUAGGAGACAAAACACAUCUCCUUCCUGAGCGGAAUGACGACUGCGUGGUCCCAUGGUGUUUAUACUUGCAUACUAUUGUUUGUACAGAUGAACAUGGCACCUUCAGGCAUUUGGAAAUUGGUUUGGAGGUCUUGGCUGAUUUCUUUAGAUUUUCCCAUGAUGUCAAGCAAAGAGACACUAAGUUUGAAGGUAGUCCUUGAAAUACAUCCACAGGUACACCUCCAAUUGACUCAAAUUUAUGUCAAUUAGCAUUUCAGAAGCUUCUAAAUCCAUGACAUCAUUUUCUGUAAUUUUCCAAAGUUUAAAGGCACAGCCAACUUAGUGAAUGUAAACGACCCACUGGAAUUGUGAUAGAGUGAAUUAUAUGUCACGACUUCCACUGAAGUCGGUCCCUCUCCUUGUUCGGGCGGCGUUCGGCGGUCGACGUCACCGGCCUAUUAGCCAUCACCGAUCCACUUUUCAUUUUCCAUUUGUUUUGUCUUUGUUUUACACACCUGGUUUCACUUCCCCAAUUACUUGUUCAUUAUUUAACCCUCUGUUCCCCCAUAUUUUUUUUGUGAGUGAUUGAUUGUAUGUUAUACGGUCCAUUAUGUGGGCUUGCUUUAUUGUUUUGUAUUUGCCUAUUUUGAGUAAAUUACGUUUAUUUACUCAUAUCUGAUGUCCUGCGCCUGACUCCUCUACACAAGCUACACACAGAC